rnacentral:sRNA from 1 species
AUUCCCUUUCCGCGAUGGAUAGCACAUAAUACGCCCCCGGUUUGCACACCGGGAAUCCAGGAGAGUUCAUGUAC